rnacentral:rRNA from 1 species
CAAUAGCGUAUAUUUAAGUUGUUGCAGUUAAAAAGCUCGUAGUUGGAUUUCGGGUGGGUACCGCCGGUCUCCCUUUGGGUAUGUACUGGCGUGGCCCGCCUUGCUGUCGGGGACGAUCUCCUGGGCUUAACUGUCCGGGAAUCGGAGUCGACGAUGUUACUUUGAGUAAAUUAGAGUGUUCAAAGCAAGCCUACGCUCUGAAUAUAAUAGCAUGGGAUAACACGACAGGACUCUGGCCUAUCGUGUUGGUCUGUAGGACCGGAGUAAUGAUUAAGAGGGACAGUCGGGGGCAUUCGUAUUCCAUUGUCAGAGGUGAAAUUCUUGGAUUUAUGGAAGACGAACAUCUGCGAAAGCAUUUGUCAAGGAUGUUUUCAUUGAUCAAGAAC